UACGGAGGGUGCAAGCGUUAUCCGGAUUCACUGGGUUUAAAGGGUGCGUAGGUGGAGUGGUAAGUCAGUGGUGAAAUCUCCAAGCUUAACUUGGAAACUGCCGUUGAUACUAUCAUUCUUGAAUAUCGUGGAGGUAAGGCGGAAUAUGUCAUGUAGCGGUGAAAUGCUUAGAUAUGACAUAGAACACCGAUUGCGAAGGCAGCUUGCUACACGAUCAUUGACACUGAGGCACGAAAGCGUGGGGAUCAAACAGG
rnacentral:rRNA from 1 species